ACUUGCUUUGGCAAGUACAUACAAUAAAAUGGAACGAUACACAAAAGAUUAGCAUGGCCCCUGCACAUGGAUGACUUGCAAAUUGUUAAGUGUGCCACAUUUUU